GUGUUCACAUUGGGGACCAUUAGAAAAUAUACACACUGUAAAAUGCGCAAAUUCAACAGUGUGUUCACUUUCGUCAACUGAAACCCUAUUAUUUUAGUUACUUUAUUCAAAUGAUAUGAGUUAACGUAUUUUGGUUUGAAUUGUUUCUGCAUUAAAAUCAAUUUCAGACGAAGAGAUCACCACGGAAGGAUCCACUAAUCCACAAUUUUCUCCUGCUUCUCCAGGAUGGAAGUGUACAUCUUCUAAAUGUUAUAGACUGUAUGAUGAGCAGGAACGAGACUGGUCAGAUGCUAAGGCAUCCUGUUCUGGAUUAGACCCGGUUAACACUACGUAUGGAUACAGAUCACCAUCUCUACUCUUUCUCAACACUGAAGAAGAGGCUCGUGAAAUUCUUGCCCUUCAGCUCGGCCUGACUGAUGUGAUGUGGGUGUGGAUCAACUGUAACGACCGGUCAACAGAGGGAGAAUUCGUCUGUGAUGUCGAUGGUAAUGGAACUCAACCAAGCUCAUUUUGGUGGAAAGACGGACAUCCCGACGGAAGCUCCUAUGCGGACUGUGUAGCAGUCAAA